UCCAGCAGCAGCAAAAGAGUUUAUUACACAGGAUUACUAUGUUCCCUUGCCCAUGCAUGUAAGGAAAGCCAACAGGACUUUUGUUACUGAAUUCCUUGGGAGCAUUUGAAAUUCCUUCCUGAUGUGGUGUGUUAGCACAGUGGAGUAUGCACUCUGCACCAAAUAUAGACGUGAGACAGGCUACUCUUUCUCUCUGUAAAGAAGGAAGAUUAAGAUACAGAUUGGUAAUCUACACUGAACUCUCAGAGCAGCUACAAACUACCACUAAUAAGAUAAGUCCAUCCUGUAUAUCUGCUACUUGAAGGUUGACACUGCUGAGGGUUCCUCUAUAUGUUCUGGUCACACAUUGCCCUCUUCCAGACCUUGAUACCUCAAACAUGGAUCACAUACCAGAUCCUGCCUGUCCCUUUCAGGGUGUUUGAUUAACUGACUUCAAAGGAUGAGCUUGAUCUUCCAAAACAUUAAAGGCCACCUAUUGAAACCAAAAGAUUUUUAUAAAUAUUUUCACUGUAUGUGAAACACACUAGUCAUCAAAUGGUUUUCCCACCUUUCUUUUUUUGCUUGCUACUGCUCUUCAGGUCUCACUAUUAUAUAUAGGGAAAACCCUCAUCAUCUUAGUAUUCUAAGAUGAAAAUUAUUUCAGCUGAGCUUUUUAUAUCCUCCAUGUGUGUGCAAAAUUUUCAUGACUAUAACAUCUUGCUACUCCUUAAUAUUGAUGGGGUUUCCUUUCUAGCAACACUGUGAAGAGGGGGAUGCAGCUGCCACCCCCUCCCAACACACAC